UUUGCUCUAUUCAUUUUCACUUGGUUCUUUUUUUUAUUUACUUGGUUCAGCUCCAGCAUUUUUACUUCUCUCCCCUGAGUGCUCUUCAGCCUGACAGUCCCUUUCACCCUGCUCUCUGCACCUCCCUCCCUGCCUGAUGGGAAGGUUGUUCCUCAGGUGCUGGGGUUCAUUCCUGCAUGAAGAGCACUGUUCAGCAGAGGAAGCUGUGGGAGGGCCAUCCCGCUGCCCCAGCUGGGCUUUCACUGCACCUGUCUUCACAAGCAUCGGAGCAUUCGUGUUUCGUCUGUCUUUUCGUGGCCAGAUGAAGUCAUCUUGGAGCAUGGGUGCGGUGGUGAAAGACACACACAGUGAAUUUACAUCUCUUGGAUAAAGGGAGAAACCAAAGAAAGAUUUCCCCUGUGAGCUGGCUUUUAUCGUCAGUGGGAACAUCUUAGUCAGCACAAGCUCAGACUUCUCAAAUUGUGCAGCCAUGUGUUGUGAGAGGUACAGCCUCUGCAGCUUCCUUGUUCCCUGGAUCAGCCAAGGACGAAGGCUCCAGGAUCUGGUGCUCCUCUGGCAGGAAUUGCAGAGCCCAGGUCAGAUAGAUUGGUAUUGUUGGUCCAGAGCACCAUAGAGAAUAAAGAAAAAAUGUAUGGUGAUCAUUGGAAGUCUGAUUGGGAAGCAUGUGAUGGAGUCCAUCAAGUUUUAAACUUCAUGGAAGCAUUUGAAAUCCCAGGGUUUCCAGUGUGCUGCCUGGUCACUGUCUCCAUCGGUUGGCCAUCCACCAGUUUCCUGGGAAGAUGUCACCUGGCAGUCACAUUCACCACAGGAGAUGUUGGCCAGUAGGUUGUGGCAGCCUGUCAGAAGUGGUUGGAGACCUUCGUUGGAUGAGCAAAGCCUAUCCACUUUCUGUCAAGCCUGAAAACGCCACAGAAGGCAUGGAGCACCCAGUCACAGUCCUGUUGCUCAUCUUUCAAACUGCAGAUGAAUGGCAAUGUCACCCCAGAACACACCACCCUGGAGGCAUUGCCAUGAGAGUCAUGGCAACAACUCAGCAGGUGCUUUUCAGGUGAAGAGUACUUAAGGCCAUGGAUGUGAAUGCUCUCUCUUUUCCCAGGCCCUUCAGCAAUUUAUCAUGCUUUCUGUUCAGGUGCAUCUGAAACAAGUCUUACAAGAAACCCUCAGACCAAAGCAAACAGUGCCACAAAAAAAUGUUGCAAUUCAACCCAAUUUUGAGGGAAAUGCCCCUGAUAACUUCUCAGCUCCGAAGAGAAGCAGUGGAGGCUGGGGCCACUGAGUCUCCAUGGAAAUCAGAGAGGGUCCAGCCCAAAGGAGAUGAGCGUGUUUGAGCUGUGUUUGCACUGUCUGGCCAGGAAGACAGCACUCAUCUCUGCCACAAAGGUCUCAGUGUGGUUUGUGCUGAAGUGGGAUCCUACAUCUGGGAUCUACCCAAGAGCUACAUCAUACUAUCUUAGAGAUAGGAAAGCUUCAUAAAGGGAGGACUUUGAAUCAGGAGUUUGCUGUGCAUUGCAACAUUUAUCGCCAUGAUUCACAUACCUCCAGUGUUACUGCAAAUCCAGGCAAAGUGUGAAAUGAUUCUCUCUCUUAUCUUUAAGGAAAUGCAACAUGCUCCUACCACACUGACUCUCAAAGUCAGCUCUACCCUGCUUUGAGCCACAGAAAUUGUCAGGAUUUUUGAAAAAGCUCAACAAACCACAACACCACAAUCUAGCCAAUUAAUUUUGAAGUGCUUUGGGAACAAUUCAGGGUUUUUUCACCUUAUGCAGCUCCAUAGAAACCCUUGGAGUUCUGCAGGUGCAUAACAACCAAGUUAUGAAGGAGCUGGAGGCACUAAGAGAGGUGGAACAUGAUUAAUAACUGUCAAAUUACAGGGAACACUUGAAAAUCCUUAAAUCUCUCCCCUCUCCUACUUCAUCCUGGCAAUAAGAACAUGACUCUUCAGUUAGGCUGUCUUUCCCUGAGGCAGUCCCUUCACUUGAGGCAGGAGAUGAUCUGAAGCCACAAGCAAAGGGUUCAGAAACUUUAUGACAAAAUCAGGAGAAAAAAAGAGAGACUGGGUGAGCUGCCACACAGAGGAUCACAGAAGGGAGUAGCUGGCAUGUGUAUGCCAGCACCAGAAUCCUCAGACUUUCAUCAUGGGAACCACAGCUUGACUGCCAGAUAAACCAGCUCCUUUUGUAUUCACAAUUGCAAAAUGUCUCUGCAGCAGCUCUAGCAAUUGCUUAGAGAGGAAAGAAAUAGAAAAACUUUUCUUGCAUCCUUAGCAUAGCAGGUGUUUUACAAAUUAAAAUAAAAAAAAGGGAUCAAUUCUGCAUUUUAUUUUGGCCCUUUGCUAUAUCCCUGCUCUGUGUCUGAAAUGUUUUCUUCACCAAAGAGACAAGCAGAGGUAGUCAACUCUUUACAAACAGUGGUUUUAGGUUUAUCAAUAUUAAGGUUGUUUUCUUUUACAGAUUUCAGUACUGUUUUUUAGUCUAGAUAGCAUAGGGUAACUCUAUUUACUUUGUUGCCCUGCUGUCUUUAGCAGAAAAACUUAAGAAGUUUGUUUCUCACUUCUGUUUGCCAUGGAGGCCUCAAUCUCAGAGAAGAUUGUAGAAGAAACUCAGUUAAUCGAAGGUUAAACAAAAUGAAUGAAGUUUGUAUGGUGCCCUGAAGGUUAUUAGACUCAAGGUCUGAGCAGCUGCCAAGGGGAGUGAGUUCCAGGGCAGGAGCAUUCAUCUGAGAAAUCCCAGUUGCUGGAUGUGGAGGGGUUGAACUUGGGAGCUGCAGGCGCCUCCCAGCUGAGUUUGGCUGCCAUGGCUGCAUGUGGGAGUGAUGCUCUGGAGAGGCACCUGGUUUAUCUUCCACUUCGGUCCAACUUGGAGAUGGAAUUGAAAUCACAAGUAUGUGUGAAAAUGGCUGGGGAGCCUUUAUUGGGAGUUAUACUGAAGGUUACUUCACACAACCACAGACUGGGCUUCAGCAGUUGCAGCAGAUAAGUUUUUACCAUGGACCCUGUGUAAAGAAGAGACCUAGCAAGGAGAAUGAAGGCUUGUUCUUCUGCCAGUUCACUUGCUACUUAGCCCUGGGCUGGGAGCAUGAUGCCAUAUGCAGAACAUGAAGCAGGAUUCAGUGAAUUUAUUCCUUUAGCAUUUUUGAAAACCGCCACAUUUGUGUAUGCAGCGUGUGGAAUUUGUCAUGCAAACACCUAUGUUUUUUUAGAUACCCUUAAAUAGGCUUUCAAAGGGAUCUCAAAGAAUGCAAGCUACUGAAGAACUGAUUGACACUUCUAUGUACAGCACAGAACCAUCAGACACAGCUCCUGAACUGCGAGCACUUCCUCUUGCUACAGGCACUAACUGAGGGAAGCCUAGGUGGCUGUACCUCCCUGCUCUCCUCCCAGCUCUGCAGAUAAAUGCUAGCUCCUGUCAUUUGGAGGAGUAGCUGGGGAGCAGAGUUGAUGCUAGUGUGUCCUCUGAGGAACAGAUUGGCCUGUUUGGAUGAUUUUUCCCUGAGGGUGCAAUGACCAGGCUGUGGAAAAGGUGUUCAGAGGGCUGGAGCCAUUGUGGCAUGGCUGGUAGGAAUAUUGAGGGGUAGGUGGUGAGGCUGCAGUUUUAACUGUAAGUACAACCUCUGGCCAUAAAUUUGAUAUUUUCUCAUCCUAAAACACCAUCUACUUGCUACUGUUUAUAUCCCAUGCCAACACUCACACAUUCGGGCAAGUCUGUGCUACAGGGAUACCUGUGGUCACAGCUCCUCCCUGAAGUCAUCUGUGCAGCUUGGGAGGAAGGUGACCUCCCUUUUCGGAGUACUUCAGCCUGAAUUAACAGAAAACUGCCUGUGGUUGUGGGCACAUUACUUUGAGUGUUUAUGCCACUUAUCUGUUACCUAAAGAUGGAGGUUUUGAAGACACUUUUAAGUUUUUUUUUGUUUUUUUUCUUUCAGCGGCUAAUCUUACAGUGUCAGAGCCUGCACUCAUGGGAAAGUUGCACCAUCUUACCUCAAGGGGCUUUAUGUUUAGUUAGAACGACAUAGGAUGAAUUAUGCAUUGGAGGAUAGGAAGGCUCUGCAGAAGGAUCUGGACAACACAAGAAGCAAAGUGUGACCUUGCAGCUUCCCGCUGUGCUCUUUCACUUCACUUUUCUGGUCAGUCACGAGAGAGAACUCAAGCAGAAGGCAGCCGACUCUCUCCAUCUCCCAUUACCCUUGCACGGCUACUGCUGCACAUUCCACUGCAGGGCAGCUGUCCCUGGCAUGAGGUUUGCUCCCCGACAAGCCCAUGUGAGCACUGGUGGGACUCCAGGCUGUGGAUCCUGUACUGUGUGGGCUAGGUGGAUGACUCACAAAAGCCAGGAUUGUGCCCUGCCAGCAAGCAGCAAAGAGGCAGCUGAUGCCGGCCGGCCGGCUGCCAAGCAGGUCAGGCCUCUGCAGCUGAAACUGCCCGAGAUUCCUAAGCGGGAUGAUGAAUCAGCUGUGUCCUUUAGGACACAUCCUCUCUUGGACAUGUUGCCGGGAUGUCGUGUCUCCCCGCUGCUUCCCCGUGAGAGUGUGCUCGGAGCUGCUGGUUGAUGACACUGGCCGGGUUGAUGAGUUUGCUUUAACUCUUCCUCCUCCCCCUCAUAAACCAGCUUUGCCUCCUGGUGAAGUUAUUGCCCCUUAAGCUGACGAUAGCAGCCCUAGAUGUCUCAGUGGAGGAGGAGUGCCAGGCUCUGAAAGAAAUGAUGCCUUGCUUGUCAUUUGCCUGCUUUUAAAAGUAUAUUAAGACAGCUUUGGCUUGAGUGCCCUGCAGGCAGGAAUUCUGAGCCAGGACAGGCUGGUUUUCACGGUGUCCAUCCCUGUUUCCAAAAAAAAGCCUUGACUCAGGGUUGCUGAGUGCAACUGCUGCAACUGGAGGCUGCUGUACCCAGGCUGCCUCGUGCCUGAUGACUCUCACAGCACAAUAGAUUUUCUUUUUCGAACCUUUAAAAGUUCUUGGGUGUGUUUACAGUUCAAUGCUUGUUCAUCCCUGAGGAGAUUUUGCUGGCUAAAGUCCUCCAAAUGUGGAGGGCUGUCCUGUCACUGUUAAGCACAGGGUAGCUGAAACAAGGUAAUGGUUAUCAGGGAUUGGGGAUGGUGAUUAAGAAGCUGACUAUUGUAUUUAUUACCAUCUCCUCCCACAAGCUCCUGCCUUGCUUGUUUGCCUUCUGAGGCCCGACUGUGCUGCUGUUUAUUGGGAGAGCACUGCUCUUUUCCAAGAUGUUUCGUUUUAAAACCCUCAGAAUGUCCCCAGGGCGUUUGAAAGGGGAUGUGCUGUGUCACGAAAGACAGUGUUCCACAUGGAAGGAUUUUUUUCCCCAAGUGACAGGCUGGUUGAGCUGUAAACAUGCAAAGGAGGAUCACCAUUACAAAUGUGAGAGAGAGCAGAGAAGAGCUGACCCCAGCUCAGGCAAAGAAACAAGAGAGUGUCUGGACUUCCCCAAAUGCAGGUGCUGCUCCUCACUUGGUAUUCUUUUGAACAUCAUGUAGAUAAUUUUCUGAGAUUGAUAUUAACCUCUUUUUAUGAGCAUGCACAAGCACCAAAUGUUGAAAUCCACUUCAGGCCUGGAUGGAAAAAUUCUGACUACGGUUUGCUGUCAGGAAAUGCUGGUUCAGCAAGAGGAAAAAGAUGUCAACUUCAACAGUAAAAAAAGGAUCAGAAAGAAACAGAAAAAAUAUGAUACCACUGAAGAUACUCUCCUGGGGGCUUUUUGAAGCAGUGAGGUUUAUUUUUCAGUGCCCUGUUUUUAUUGUUCAUUGACAUGUAGGAUAAACACAGCCAGAGCGGAGGCUGUACCUUUUUUUUUCCCCUGUGGCUUUGCUCAGUAUAUGGUAGGUAACAGCUUCUGCAUACCCAACACAUCCUUCCCAGUACCUACCUGCAAUAACACUGGUGCUAACAGUGCAGGUAAAGUGGGAGAAACUUUUUCUGAUGUGCCAUCUUUCUUAAGGGAGAGAAAAGUGCCUCUGGGAAGCACAAAACUCCCAUGGAGGCAUGCUGGGAUCUAUCUUGGAGGUGGAUUAUCUCCUUCACUGACACCCUGCACUCCUGGCUGUGUGGGUUAACUGAUGACCUAGUAAAACCAUUGGCUCCUCUCAGGUCUUGACAUACUCCUCAUUUAUGCAGCUGUGGCUACUUAGGUCUGCUAAUUCUAAAAAUGGGGUUCUUCCUGAGCACCUAAGUCCUCACCUAAGUCCUACAAAAUUAAAUAUGCAGGGCAGAAACAAGACGUGGAAGAAUAACCCUGUGUUGCAUAGGAAGUGUGUGUAAUUUUGGCUACUGCUCUGCAUUUUUUUAUGUCUGCCAAAUACAUGAGAUUGACAAGUAAAUAGACAAAAAUAUAUAUGUUGAAGCAAAAAAAGCUAAGAAAAACAGUAUUCUAGUGAAGUUCUGAAAACAGCUAACCAAAUAAAUCUCCCCAAAUACAUAGCUUUGCUACCCAGGGUGGUUGUUUGGUUCAGGACCUUCCCAAUUAGCAUUAUAAACAUACCAAAGUGCUAUGCAUGUUUUUUGAGUAAAUCACCUAAAUAGAUUAUUACUGUUGGGUAGCAAUUAAAAUGAUUGAGUAGUCUAAUCUAUGUCCUGGUGUAGUGCCAAGUAUCAGAGCUCUGAUUUAUGCAUUUCCCCCUCCUCCCCAUGUUGCUUCUGAAACGGGACAGCGUGGGAAGCCUGGCAGCGCAUGGGACAGAACUCCUCUCAACACUGUCAGGCCACUUGCUCCUCAAAUUCCCCUUCAGGAAGUGGGAUGGUGAGAGGAGAAGAGACUUGGUGCUUCCCAUCCCUGCUGUUGAAUGGAGCCAGGCUUUCUUUGGACUGCAAGUAAAUUCACUGGGCCAGAUGCUCAGGCCAAGCCCCAGGGCUGCUUGUUCCUAGGAGGGAAAGGUAGAAGAUUCCUGAGGUAUUUUUUUUUUUUUAGUUUCUUUAUUUUGUGUUAUGGUGAAGUUCCUGUCUCGGAAGUGAUGCUUGUAUUUUAGUCUCCUUUUUCAGUGCAGAAAGGCAGAGGAUACAAGAGGAGAGCAUCAUUUUUAUGACAACAAGGAUGCAUCCUUUGCAAUUGUGACUUCCUUUGGCUGGGAUGUGGGAUGCUGUGGCCGUCCUGCUGUGUUUUCUGUCUUUCUCUGGGACAGCUGAAUAAUGUCCGUAGCCAGACAUAUGCUCAUGGCCUGGAAUGAAGUCGACUGCAAUUACAUCCUAAGGGAGUCACUCAACGGGGGUUUUGUGGAGGCAGGACGCAGGCUCUGGUGGAGCUGCACAUGUGCUGUUAGACCUCCAACUGCACUCACUCUGCCUGCAGCUUUGUGGGAGCGAGGAGCAGCAGGCUCAGAAAUACAGCAGUCUGGUGCACAUCUGGAGACAGUAAUUGGAGUGCCUGUCUCUGUGCUAGAUGAGGGCCUGUGGGGAGUUCAGGGAGUGCAGGUCUGGGCCGUGUAUCACUCUGUCCCCAGGACCAAGCUGGGAGAGUGGGUACAGAGACAUGAGCUUUCAAUACCUGCAAAUUUCCAUCUGGUUUGUUAGCAGCACUCCUCAUGAAGGGGAUUAUGAAAAGUUGGAGAUGCUACAGUGUUUCAGACUCAUUUGACUGUGGUGGCUGAACUGAACCACUUCUGACUUGCCCUCCUGAAAGUGAACGGAGGACAAGGCUGUGCGGUGGGGCUGGUGACAACUCGGUUUCAACCUCUGCUGCAGCAGCCUGGCUGAGAGGAUGGCUUUUGGCUCGUGAAGAGGAACUCUCGGAGGCUGGACCAUUUCCCCUCACACUCCUGGGUCUCUCCAAGACUGCUGUGUAAUGCUCAGGAAGGCUUCUAGGGGCAAGGUGCUUUUCUGCAUCUACCAGAAAACCCUGCAAACUCAUUAAUAAAGGCAAGAUAAAAUAAAGCUUGGAAAGUCAACAUGUUCAAGAAGAUAUGCCAUUCUGGGAAACAAGAGGAGAGGAGGUGUGUAUUUACGUGAACAAAAGAAGUCCAAACUGUAAACCGUAAUAUAUCUGUUAGCUUAUUAAUGUGUCUGAUGCUGACUAAUUCCAGGGGUGUUCCUGCUGGCCAGCAGCAAAAGUGCAAAUAAGUGGACAGCUGUGAUUUAGUGCCAAAUAUUUGAACACAUCGUGACAAUUCAGGCCACCCACUCUCUUAAGUAAAUACGACUUCUGUAGAAUCAUUUCAAACUGGGCUGAAGUGCAGAGCAUCCACUUUCAUGUGCAUCUCAGCCAAAUGGCCCUUAAGUAUUUGGGGCCAAACUGUGCCUUCUCUUACACCCUGGGAGCCCCAGUUCACUCCAGAGUUUGCACUAUGUGUAGCUGAGGGGCAGAGCUGACUCUUGAUGCUAAUCUGACUUUUUCUAGCUCAGUAAGUACAAUUUCACAUGUAAAUGUGAAUGUGGAACAGAUCUGGACUAGAUUAUCUCCUGAAUCCUUGACAAAAAGCCAUAAUUGUUUAUCCAGAUGAGGUUUCUUUCUCUCUCUUUUACUUUCUCUGCACUUUAAGCCCAAGGUUUUAAUGGGCUUGUGAAAUAAAUACGUGAGUGUAGAUUACAGUGGUAUCAAAGGUGGGAGGAAAGCCCUUCCCUUCUCCUCAGCACGGCUAAAUGAUCACUUGCUGCACACUUCAGUUCUGCUCUCCAGAGCCUUGGGCAGGGGUGGCUGCGGAUCUGACGGUGGGAGGGAGGGUAUUUCCAAGACAACACUUAGCCCGGGGCUCCCAUUACAGAUGUGAAGGACCUGUGAUAUAUAUCUUCUUUUUUUUCCUGGUAGGCAGUGAAAUUUGUGCUAGUGGCUAUAUCUGGGGCACAGGGUUGUUGGGGGAGGUGAAAAGCAAGGGAAUAUGGAAAAAAAAAUUGUAUUUAUCAGGGAAAUCUAGUUUAAGAGCACAAGUACUAAAACAUUUUAAUCACAGUCAUACGGCUGUGUGUCACUGCAGGGCAGAAUUAAGGCUAUUUGUAUGCCUUGGUAGCACACUGCCACACUUCAACAAGUUUGAAUUUAUUUUAAGGAUAACUUUAACUCUGAAUUCCCUGGGUUUGUAAUGUCUGGUCUGGAAAUAAAUGCAACCUCUUUAUAUUGUA